UUGGAGGGCAAGUCUGGUGCCAGCAGCCGCGGUAAUUCCAGCUCCAAUAGCGUAUAUUAAAGUUGUUGCAGUUAAAAAGCUCGUAGUUGAAUUUCGGGGUCAGUAGGUUGGUCGUGCCACUGGUAUGCACUGGUCUCACUGAUUCCUCCUUCCUGAUGAACCGUAAUGCCAUUAAUUUGGUGUUGCGGGGAAUCUGGACUGUUACUUUGAAAAAAUUAGAGUGUUUAAAGCAGGCUAACGCUUGAAUACAUUAGCAUGGAAUAAUGAAAUAGGACGAUCGAUCCUAUUUUGUUGGUUUCUAGGAUUGACGUAAUGAUUAAUAGGGAUAGUUGGGGGCAUUAGUAUUCAAUUGUCAGAGGUGAAAUUCUUGGAUUUAUUGAAGACUAACUACUGCGAAAGCAUUUGCCAAGGAUGUUUUCAUUAAUCAAGAACGGAAGUUAGGGGAUCGAAGACGAUCAGAUACCGUCGUAGUCUUAACCAUAAACUAUGCCGACUAGGGAUCGGAUGAUGUUAAUUUUUUAAUGACUCAUUCGGCGCCUUACGGGAAA
rnacentral:rRNA from 1 species